ensembl:lncRNA
GUUCAGGGUAUACUUGCAAUUUACUGGACUGUUUUUCUAGAUACUAUAACAUCUAAGCAAAUGUCAGUCUUUAAAAAAAAUAUACAACAGACAAAAAGUGUUGGAGGCUAGACAUUGAAUCAGCUGUUUUCUUCCUCUAGUACAUCAUCAUAAUGCUAAGAUUCUUCAAACGAUUUAAAUAACAGCAUUCCCACGCUGCAUAAUCUUUUCAAGAUCGCAGAAUAAAGUUUUUCAAUCCAUUUUUAAAAACUAGCAAAACUCUACAACAAAAUCUUCCAGAAAAAAAGACCAAAUUCAUUUAUAUACAUAUUAAAUGUAAUACGACCUAAGAGGAUACAAAACCUAAAAAGUUAUGCAAUUUCUUUAGAAAUGACUUUCACCCUACCUACACCAAUGACUCAAGACAGUGGCUUCCACACCCGUAGGGUCCUUGUUUUCCAUCUUUCCACCAGCCCUAACCAGCGCCAGUGCAGGGCCUAGCACUGGCUGGGGACCUGGCUCCUAGCCCUCACACUGCCCUCAGCCCUGGCUUUGGCUCUGGCCCUGUUGGCCUGUCUGCUACAGCCUCACGAUACUGCAAUGGCCAGUGCUGGGGUUCUUUCUUAUGGAGGCUGCCCACAAACCCUAGGCCUUUCAUCUUGCUGAUUUCCAGGUUUUUUCCGGGGCAACAAGAGAAUUCAUAUUCUGGUGGACUAGGCACCUGCCUGUAACUGAUGUAUCGCUGCCCAAAAAAAUCUUCCGCAAGCCUCUUUGGUUACUCAGACGAAGCGAUACUUUGAAGCAAGGACCCCCCAAACGACACUGCCUCUCCCAGACCUGGGCCACCCUGGCUCUAUUUAUUACCUUUCAUGUAGAUAAGACCCAAGAUCAUCACUAAGAGACCCAAUCUGGGGCCAUCUCCUCCUAGAUCCUCCUCCUCCUCCAGAGGUUUUAAGUUUGUUGAUCAGGAUUUAAGAGUGGUGCUUGCGGUCGAGCUGUUUCAGCUCGAAACCAAAAGCAUACCGCACAUGCUCUGCGGCCCUUGAGAUGAUCUCCGGGAACAGAUCCUUCCAGUCUCCAACAACGUAUUUCACCAUCUCAGAGUGCGUGAUGGGACACCUCAUCCUGUUCUCCACCAGCAGAAACUGCACCAACUCGGCCACCGUCCGAUUCGGGAAGCAGUGUGCCCGCUCCGCGUCAGGGCUUUGGCGCCUUUCCCGGGCGAGGGCGGGCUACGCAGCCUUCUCCUCCCUCACCGUCCCGAGGGCCUCCUUGGGGCUCUCCUGCAGGAGGGGGCUCGAGGCCUCCUCCUGAGAGACGGCCAGGGCCUGGGUCUCACCGUCACAGCUGCCAUCCUGCUCCCUCUCGGCCCGAGAGUCCGGGAGACCCCCGCGCUCCGGCAGGCAGAACAGCGCGCACAAGGGCUGAGCGGUGUGCGAGCCGCUGCGCGAACCCGGACGGAAGGGUUGGACGGCGGGAGGAGAACUGGGUGCGACGGCAGAGGGGCCUCUGAAGCUGCGGGACUCUAGCCCACUACACGGGAACUGCUGCCAUAACGCCGCGAGCGCCCUAGAGCGGCAGCCGCUGCGCAGCCUCAGUCCGCGCCCGCUCCGGCCACUUCCGGCCACCUCAGCCAAGAUGGCCGUCCCGGGUCCGCGCGAAGCCCUUCCUCUUCCGGUCCUGCCUGGGUUAUGGUUGUGCGCUGCCUGCUUGGUUGGGAAAGCUGAGAGGAAAGGGGAUAUAACCAGGGCUUUUUCAUUCAAGGCAUGUUUCAAUAAGUAUUCUCCGAGGAGGAACACUCAAAGCCUCCAGAUAAACACAGCAUUUCUUUCAGCAGCAUCAUUUUUCCUCAAGGUGAAUAAUUUUAAACAUCUUCUUAUUAAAAGAAAUGCAGAUCUAUCAUGGAGUAGAGUGCAAAAUUCUCAUGAAUUUUUAAGAGGACACAGGAGAUUUCGAAGAACGUUUGGCUGUGGAGGCAGGGGCUUCAGGCUCCACAGUCCCCUGGGGGAACUUAAGAUGUCUCUUUUGUCUGCUGU